UACGUAGGCAGCGAGCGUUGUUCGGAGUUACUGGGCGUAAAGGGUGUGUAGGCGGUUGUUUAAGUUUGGUGUGAAAUCUCCCGGCUCAACUGGGAGGGUGCGCCGAAUACUGAAUGACUUGGAGUGCGGGAGAGGAGAGUGGAAUUCCUGGUGUAGCGGUGAAAUGCGUAGAUAUCAGGAGGAACACCGGUGGUGUAGACGGCUCUCUGGACCGUAACUGACGCUGAGACACGAAAGCGUGGGGAUCAAACAGG
rnacentral:rRNA from 1 species